AGAGUUUGAUCCUGGCUCAGGAUGAACGCUGGCGGCGUGGAUAAGGCAUGCAAGUCAAACGGUCCAUGUAUUUAUAUAUGGACAGUGGCAAACGGGGUAGUAACAGGUAGGAACAUACCCAUGAGUCGUGAAUAACUGCGAGAAAUCGUAGCUAAUACACGAUAUCCCUACGGGGGAAAGAUUUAUCGCUCAUGGAAUGGCCUGCUUCGUAUCAGCUAGUUGGUAAGGUAAAAGCUUACCAAGGCUACGACGCGUAGGGGAGGUGAGAGCCUGACCCCCACCAUUGGAACUGCGACACGGUCCAAACUCCUACGGGAGGCUGCAGUCGAGAAUCUUCCGCAAUGCACGAAAGUGUGACGGAGCGACGCCGCGUGAUGGAUGAAGUAUUUCGGUAUGUAAACAUCUUUUAUAGGUGAGGAAGUAUAUUGACGUUAACCUAUGAAUAAGGGGUUCCUAAACUCGUGCCAGCAGGAGCGGUAAUACGAGUACCCCAAGCGUUAUCCGGAAUUAUUGGGCGUAAAGGGUCCGUAGGUGGCCAUAUUAGUCUUUUGUCAAAGACCCGUGCUCAACACGGGGGAGGCAAAGGAAACGGUAUGGCUUGAGUCUGUGAGAGGUGUGCGGAACUCAUGGUGUAGGGGUGAAAUCCGUUGAUAUCAUGGGGAACACCAAAAGCGAAGGCAGCACACUGGCACAUGACUGACACUAAGGGACGAAACCCUGGGUAGCGAAUGGGAUUAGAUACCCCAGUAGUCCAGGGCCUAAACGAUCUUGAUUAGCUUUGUGGAGUAUCGACCCUCUGCGAGGCGUAGCUAACGCGUUAAAUCAAGCGCCUGGGAAGUACGAGCGCAAGCUUAAAACUCAAGGGAUUGACGGG
rnacentral:rRNA from 1 species